rnacentral:rRNA from 1 species
GGGGAAUAUUGGACAAUGGGGGCAACCCUGAUCCAGCCAUGCCGCGUGAGUGAUGAAGGCCCUAGGGUUGUAAAGCUCUUUUACCUGGGAAGAUAAUGACUGUACCAGGAGAAUAAGCCCCGGCUAACUUCGUGCCAGCAGCCGCGGUAAUACGAAGGGGGCUAGCGUUGUUCGGAAUCACUGGGCGUAAAGCGCACGUAGGCGGAUCUUUAAGUCAGGGGUGAAAUCCCGGGGCUCAACCUCGGAACUGCCCUUGAUACUGGAGAUCUUGAGUUCGGAAGAGGUGAGUGGAACUGCGAGUGUAGAGGUGAAAUUCGUAGAUAUUCGCAAGAACACCAGUGGCGAAGGCGGCUCACUGGUCCGAUACUGACGCUGAGGUGCGAAAGCGUGGGGAGCAAAC